rnacentral:rRNA from 1 species
UACGAAGGGGGCUAGCGUUGCUCGGAAUCACUGGGCGUAAAGCGCACGUAGGCGGGCCUCUAAGUCAGGGGUGAAAUCCUGGAGCUCAACUCCAGAACUGCCUUUGAUACUGGGAAGCUUGAGUCCGGGAGAGGUGAGUGGAACUCCGAGUGUAGAGGUGAAAUUCGUAGAUAUUCGGAAGAACACCAGUGGCGAAGGCGGCUCACUGGCCCGGUACUGACGCUGAGGUGCGAAAGCGUGGGGAGCAAACAGG